UGGGGAAUAUUGGACAAUGGGCGCAAGCCUGAUCCAGCCAUACCGCGUGGGUGAAGAAGGCCUUCGGGUUGUAAAGCCCUUUUGUUGGGAAAGAAAUCCAGCCGGCUAAUACCUGGUUGGGAUGACGGUACCCAAAGAAUAAGCACCGGCUAACUUCGUGCCAGCAGCCGCGGUAAUACGAAGGGUGCAAGCGUUACUCGGAGUUACUGGGCGUAAAGCGUGCGUAGGUGGUUAUUUAAGUCCGUUGUGAAAGCCCUGGGCUCAACCUGGGAACUGCAGUGGAUACUGGAUGACUAGAAUGUGGUAGGUGGUAGCGGAAUUCCUGGUGUAGCAGUGAAAUGCGUAGAGAUCAGGAGGAACAUCCAUGGCGAAGGCAGCUACCUGGACCAACAUUGACACUGAGGCACGAAAGCGUGGGGAGCAAACA
rnacentral:rRNA from 1 species